GCACGGCAGCCCGGGCAAGUGACCUGGCCGGGGAGGGACGGCGGAGGGGCAGGUCUGAGAAACGUCUCCCCGAGCCGUCCCCGCGCUCUGCCCGGCUGUCAGAGGAGUUUGGAAAUGCUGUUGGUGACACAGGGACACGGGCAAACAAACCGUCACAUCGCAUCUCCCCUGACGCGUUAAGUGGGAGCUGAGAGCACGAACAGGCUGUGGUACCUUCCCCGCAUUCCCAGCUUGGUGGAGACGAGGACAUUCAAGACGGUGCCCCGGCUGCUGCGCUGCUCCUUAUCCCCAGAACAGCCCUUUCAUGGGAAGAAACCACCGAAUCCUGCUAAAGGCACUGCCGGUGUCUAAUUAAUGUCACCGACCCAUCUGCCCAGGGAAACCAUUAUAAAAGCCCUCCACCACUGCAAAUAGUAAUGACUAUUUCCUUUUCUUCUCACUGCGAUUCUGAGAGACUUGAGAAUCCAGGCGUAUGGGAGUAGCAGGAAUACAACAACUGACAGAAUUGAGCACCGGGAAUUCACUCCUUUUGUAAUCUAUUUACAGAGAAAUCCUGUGGAGGGUGACAUUUUCAUGUAAGUGAAUGAAUAACAGAUACACGUUAAAGAAAAGGCACAAAGAAAAAUAUCAAGUCUUAGACAAAAUAUGCAUCUGUGAUCCCGUUGCCAAAUUAUCCAAAAAGAUCCAAAAAUCGUUUAAAAAGAGAAGGUAUUUGCCGGAAUUUCUGUCAGUAAUUUUUACGUGCCAGACUGUAAGCUCCCUCCCUGCUUAGAAGCCAUGUCACCUCCUGGCAGGCAGGCUGGAGCGCGAUGCUCACAGCGUGGGUACCCAGAGAACAGCUACUCACACUCAACUCACCCUGUGCUGAACCAGGGGCUGGCCCUCCCCCAGCCCUUCUGUGCCUGGAAAGGACUGCUAAACCCCACGGGGGGACCUGAUGCUGCGCUGGUCCAAGGGCACUGACUUAGUUCUGAUGCUCCCUAUCCAAAGGUGCUCAACCCAGUUAAAAGAAUCCCAAUGAUUUUAAUGAGUUUUGCAACAAAGGGCUAGGCAAAGUACAGCUUUCAGUGUCACCACAUGCUGACAGUCAAAAUGGUUAAAAACCAGGGGUGCUGCCAACAGCUAAAUGAUUUUUAACCCCAUUACCGCCAGAAACAAGUUGGUUUCAUUGAGAAGUGACAGAAGGUACCUUCCCAAUGUGCUCAAAGAGGAAAAAUCAUGCAGACUCAGCAUAUAUCAGUUGCUUUUGAGAGCAGACCUCAUGCAAAGAGCCGCAAUGCCCCUGUGAUAAUUUGCUAAACACAAAUCACAAUCGACCAGGCAUUCUCUGGUAUUAGCUCUUCAAUAUGGCCCAAACACGAAAAUUAUUCCUGUCUAUUCAAAGCUGUUGCCAUAUUUUAAGAACUAACAUAGAUAGCACAAAGCCUGAGAAGAUCAGAUUUUGCCUCAGUCCGCAGACAUACCUUAAAUAAUAUUUGCCUAGUGUUUACUUAUAAAAAUAUCAGCCAAUACUUUUAAAUGAAAAAAAAAAUAAUCACAAACUAAAACUGUAAGACUACAAUCUCUACAGGAAAAAUAUAGUAUAUAGCUACUUAAACAUACUUAUCAGAAAAAAAAAAAUCCACAAAAUUAUUGUAGUCCUGGCUACAUAUUAGUCUUAUUACAACAGCACUCACUUUGACUCAUCAAUCAACAUAGAAGACCUGUUUUCACAUCUGUGCAAGGUGCUGUACACACAAGAAAAAACUCCUCCUUAUCCUAUACCUUUUACCAAACAUGUAAAGAAUAUAUAUUUAUAUAUUUGAAAACAAGUUGCCCAUUAUUGUUUCCUGUUACCACAAGAACCGAUGGCAAACUUAUCUAAAAUGAAAUGCAGAUUUUUCCACAUGAAAAUAUUUCAUAUUUAAUUAUUAACAGCUAAUGGUUACACUCAUCAGUUUUCAAGGAGAAGGUACUCAUCAUUUGCUUUUAGCUUCAACAGGCUCAAGGUUUUCUUCCACCUCCUUCCUGUAAGUGUAUGUGAUAAAACUAGUAUGGGUUGUUUCACUUAGAGGACAAGAUGGACAAACAACUCUUGGGACAACACUCUGGAGCAAUUAGUAAUUAGUUUUGUCUUUGCAAUGCUUAGUGUGUAAGCAAACUGUUCUGAAUAAAUUUUCUAUUUUUUCUUCUUCUUUGAGAAGUGGCACUUCUGCAGAAACACUUCUUGAUUCUGAGCUCUUCCCUUAUUCUCUCCUGAUAGUAAAUUUUAACAUUUCUUGACAGAAAGGAAACCAGAAAAAACAGCGAAGCUACUCUUGCAGAAUCAGAAGUAAUACAGGUUUCUUUACUGGGUAUAUUCUUUUAUAUUAAGAUUUACCAUCUGUUCAGUCCCUAAUUAUAUUUAUUUCACAACUCCACAACCAGAAAGAUGAAAAGGCUUUGAAACAAUUUUAUCUUUUACCUCAAGAGUUACGAAUUCUUCUGCAAAGAUUGUCCCUGCAUGUCAGAGCCAUGACAUAAUGGAGCAAUCCCCUGCUUCAAACUGAUGUAUAAAACAUGCACAAUGUGCUUGUUCUCAUAAAAGCAUGCUGCACCUCACCUCAUCCAGACAUUUUUAAAGUGACUAUCACUGUUGGCCAAAACAGCCUAUGAUGCAAAAUUGAAAAGGCAGCAGCUUUUACAGAACUUCUGUACUGUACCCUUUCAGAACUGUUUGUACUAGUAUGUUACAACCAGUUCACUCCUGAUUGUCAACAAUGAAAGAACCAGUCCUCACCACCCAGUAAACAUUUAGACAGAAUUACCAUUCUUUUCCAAGAGCUCCUAUGACUGUUUGAAAGUUCAGCUCUUAGUCAAGUUCAAAUUGGAAGAAAAAAAGGACAAAAGAAGCAUUAAAAACAAACACUCUUUUAAAGCAAGUCUAACCACUAAAAGGUAUUUAGGUGGUUUUGUUGACAAGUAAGUGUUAUUACAAGCUGUGCAAGAAAUGAGAAGCCCCCCAGAGUUUGUCUGAGUCAGACUGACGUGAAAAUGAACUAGGGUGCAAUUCCUCCUGGGACUGAUUUGAACUGUACCCAUUUCAAUGAAGAUUCAAUUUGAUACAUGUGUACAGGUCCCCCACUUAAUACAAUAAAGUGUUAAGCAGGAACUUCAUCAAAGCAUUGGAAGGUGUAUAAUGACAAUAAUUUGUACUUGCAUAACAGCAUUUGCCAAAGACCUUAAAUUAAUUCAAAAAUCAGCCACCUUGAGUAGUAUCUGUUAUUACAGAUAGUUUGUCAGAUUGGAAAACUACAACACAAAUAAUUACAUUAUGCCCUGCAAGCUAGACAUUUCACUCCUGUGCAGAAGGACUAGCCUGAAGACUAACAGCUCUCCUUAAGUUUCCCAUAAAUCCAUGAAGUAGGACUUUAAUUAAACGUUAUACAGGAUUAAAGAGGUGGAUAGGUCCUACACUGGUCCUUAAUACAGGAAUAAAGUUUACUCAUAUGAAUCAAUAAAAAGGUCUAAGGCAAAAAUAAAUAAAAUACCUCACAUUCAAGUUUGAGCUGACUAGUAGACAGCAAAGACUUAAAAACACCCUAAGAUUUGGAAGUUCUUUUUGACAACACAGUGCUCAUUCUGUUCAGAAAACACAGGAGUUUGCAAUCCAGCCAACUGCCCUACAUUAGACAGCAGGUAUUUAGCUGAUUUUUUUCUAUAUGCAACACUUGAUCAUUCUGUUAAUGAAAAACUAAACUUAGAAAGAAAUUAGCACAACACAGCCCCUACUCUGAAAGCAUUUGUUGCAUGUGUGCACAUUCUCAUAUGGCUUACAUUCUGCUCUCUCUAAGUGCAUUUAACCAACAGUAACACUAUGAAAGCCCUCCUUGAUCAGUCUACUUCAGUUUUCUCUCAUAGCUCAAUUAACUUUUAAAAAUCAAAGAUUGUCCUUAAAAACAGGCCAGACCUGAACUACUUCUAAUGUAAGUACCCAUAGUUCAUUAAAUAUGAAUGCUUAGAUUUAGAUUCUUGUGAUACAUUAUUGAGUCACAAUUUAUUUUAAACAGCUGAGUCCUGUUUCAACUUGGAGACUAAACAGCUGUGUUUCUGUAGUGCCAGCUAGACCAGGAUUCUAGUCCCUGACUAGAGUUCUGGGUAAUUUUGUUGCUAGUAAAAGGGACAGCAGAAAAAGCCCUGUGUGGAGUACUCAAGAUGGCCUGAUGACAGGGAAGGACUUAAUUGUGUGUCUAAUGAUAAUCAGCUCACAUAUAUCUACAUUGCCUUUGUUAACUAAAGUUCUUGAAUAUGCUCUUGGUUGUUCUAGUUUAGUAUCUAGCUACUUGAAGUAGCUGGCUGUAUCAAUUGUUUAAGGAAAUAAAAAGCAUACUUUUUUUUUUUUUUUGCUUGAAUUAACAGAAAAGUCUUGUGGAUUAGAGAUAAGAUACUGUGAACUUUAAUACUAAGCUUUUGACCCAAAUGUAAUCUAAUGCAAAUACAAAUGGUGCUUCAUCAACA